AGAAACGCGUCCUGGAAUGUAUGGGACAGCUGACACAAAGCCAGAGAUGGUCAUCAUUGAAUAAUUGUAGCUCAAAUAUUGCGUUUCAGCAAUCUGAACAAUGGCAAAAUAGUAUUGAAAAUAAUGAGCUUGUUAGUGAUAGUACAAGUA